AUAGCGUAUAUUAAAGUUGUUGCGGUUAAAAAGCUCGUAGUUGAAUCUGUGUGCCACGCUGUCGGUUCAUCGCUCGCGAUGUUUAACUGACAUGAUUGUGGGACGUCCUACCGGUGGGCUUAGCUCCUCACGGGGCGGUCCAGCUAAUAUCCCAUCGCGGUGCUCUUCAUCGAGUGUCGAGGUGGGCCGGUACGUUUACUUUGAACAAAUUAGAGUGCUCAAAGCAGGCUAUGAUCGCCUGAAUACUGUGUGCAUGGAAUAAUGGAAUAGGACCUCGGUUCUAUUUUGUUGGUUUUCGGAACCCCGAGGUAAUGAUUAAUAGGGACAGAUGGGGGCAUUCGUAUUGCGACGUUAGAGGUGAAAUUCUUGGAUCGUCGCAAGACGAACAGAAG
rnacentral:rRNA from 1 species